UCCGGUAUGGUGUAACGGCUAACAUUACCGCCUUUCAUGUAUACUGCGUGUUUGUGCGUUGGUGAAAAAUUGCGCGGUAGCUCGGGGUUCGAUUCCCCGUACCGGAA
rfam:Hypholoma sublateritium FD-334 SS-4 unplaced genomic scaffold scaffold_51, whole genome shotgun sequence.